rnacentral:rRNA from 1 species
UACGUAGGGCGCAAGCGUUGUCCGGAAUUAUUGGGCGUAAAGAGCUCGUAGGCGGUUUGUCGCGUCGACUGUGAAAACCUACAGCUUAACUGUGGGCUUGCAGUCGAUACGGGCAGACUUGAGUUCGGUAGGGGAGACUGGAAUUCCUGGUGUAGCGGUGAAAUUCGUAGAUAUCGGGAGGAACACCGGUGGCGAAGGCGGCGAUCUGGGUCGAUACUGACGCUGAGGUGCGAAAGCGUGGGGAGCAAACAGG